CGAGGUAGAUAGGGCAGAGGUGGAAGCAUGGCAACAUGUGCAGCUGACUGUCACUAAUAGGUCGAGGGCUUAACCAAG
rnacentral:rRNA from 1 species